GACGAACGCUGGCGGCAGGCCUAACACAUGCAAGUCGAGCGGAUGAAGGGAGCUUGCUCCUGGAUUCAGCGGCGGACGGGUGAGUAAUGCCUAGGAAUCUGCCUGGUAGUGGGGGAUAACGUCCUGAAACGGGCGCUAAUACCGCAUACGUCCUGAGGGAGAAAGUGGGGGAUCUUCGGACCUCACGCUAUCAGAUGAGCCUAGGUCGGAUUAGCUAGUUGGUGGGGUAAAGGCCUACCAAGGCGACGAUCCGUAACUGGUCUGAGAGGAUGAUCAGUCACACUGGAACUGAGACACGGUCCAGACUCCUACGGGAGGCAGCAGUGGGGAAUAUUGGACAAUGGGCGAAAGCCUGAUCCAGCCAUGCCGCGUGUGUGAAGAAGGUCUUCGGAUUGUAAAGCACUUUAAGUUGGGAGGAAGGGCAGUAAGUUAAUACCUUGCUGUUUUGACGUUACCAACAGAAUAAGCACCGGCUAACUUCGUG
rnacentral:rRNA from 1 species